GUUUCCAAUUACCCAGGAUCAUCUGUCGUUGUUUCGAGCCAAAUUCUAACUUUUUUCUGUGUUCUUUUAUCUAAUUUCAUUUUCUUUUGGUAAUUUUUAUCCCAAUAAAGCAGUACUUGGAACCUUGCUUUGACUUUCAAGUCUGUUCAACUCGUGGAACUUCAGAUUGUGUCGAUACAAGUUUGAUGUUGGUGCUCUUUCAUUCUCUUACACUCAUCGAUGUGUAUAUG
rnacentral:misc_RNA from 1 species